rnacentral:lncRNA from 1 species
ACUUUCCUGUUGAUUAGGCAACGGGUGUGGAAAAUGUUCUCCCAUUGUUCUUGGUCUUCACCCUUGAUUUGCAAGUUGAGGGCACUUUGCAGAACAAGGGUACUACUCUAGUAGGGAGUUCCUACAAUGAUAUGAGACAUAUCGAAGUACCUGUAAGAAGUUAGUGAAAAUAAGACUCUCCCUUAUCUCUGCUCAUGUUUACCUCGUAAUCUCUCAAUUGACAUCUUCUUCUAUCAAGUUGAGCAUUUGGAAUCGAAAUCAUUUAGGUUAGGUC